AAAAAGAAGAAGAAAGACUUGAAGAAAAGAAAACUUAAAGACACCUAACAAGGUUAGUGAUUUAAGAUGCAAAAUUAGUUUAUUUGUUGUGUUUUUAGCUUGAUUAACUUGUAAAUAAACUUAAAAUGAAAAGAAAUUAAUUGUUGAAGGAUUAAAGCAAAAUUCGUCCAGCCUAUGUAUGGGUGAGAAUUUCAUGAAUUUGAUUAAAUAAAAUAUGUUAGAAAGCUUGA
rnacentral:misc_RNA from 1 species